rnacentral:rRNA from 1 species
UACGUAGGCAGCAAGCGUUGUUCGGAGUUACUGGGCGUAAAGGGUGUGUAGGCGGUUCUUUAAGUUUGGUGUGAAAUCUCCGGGCUUAACUCGGAAAGGUCAACUGAUACUGUGCGACUAGAGUGCAGAAGGGGCAACUGGAAUUCUCGGUGUAGCGGUGAAAUGCGUAGAUAUCGAGAGGAACACCUGCGGCGAAGGCGGGUUGCUGGGCUGACACUGACGCUGAUGCGCGAAAGCCAGGGGAGCGAACAGG